CUGUGUGGUGCUGGGUGUGAGUCGGAGCUAGCCUGGGUUUACCUGAGUUGCAGGGUCACCCCUCAUCGCACCCUUGUCAGUCCUCAAAUAGGGGUGCAACUGUUCCAUGAAAGGGAACAAAGAGACUGAGCUACUAGACACCAAGCUGUUUAGGACUGAACCCAUUCCUGUCCAAACGGAAGUGAUCCAGAGGGACUCUGAAUAUUACAGAAGUCAAGAGAUUUCAUCAUCUUUAUUCAAAGAAAGGGGUUUGUUUGUUGAUUUUUUGGAUUUUUUUUUUGGACCACAGCUCUAUCUACUCCCUGAAGAGUAAGGAUUAUUAAGUAAAUCAGAUGGAAAAAGAAUCGCAAAUAAGCAUAAUGUGAAGAGCAUGAGCUUUGGAAUAAGCAAGCCUGGAAUUACAAUUUUCUUUUAUUAGCUCUGUGGCUGUAAUACUCAACUUUUGCAAGCUUCAGUUUCCUCGUCUGUGAAAUGGAAUAAUAGCACUUACCUCAUUGGCUGUUGUAUGGAUUAAAUGAGACCAUGACUAUGGAUGUAUGGCAUUUGGUACCCAAUAACCCCUCAAUAAUCGGCAGCUAUAAUUAUUCAUAAUAAUAAUGGUGGUAGCAACAAACCCAGCCCAAACAUCUGAAGGACCGAUCACUAAAAAGAAGAUGAACUCAGUCCUACGUAGUAACAAGAAUGUGACAUCUAUGUUGUUGCCAAAAGUCUGGAGGAGUUGCCAGGACCAGAGAGAAGGAGGUGGUGAGGCCGGCCUGGAAGAGGGAGGGGACAGAUGUCAAGGACCCCAAUCUUGAGGUGGAAAGUUCUGUGAUUAACCCAGAUGAAUGUCUCUAACCUCCAACUCUUCUGUUCUCAGAGUUUUAAUGGGGCACACCGUGUGCUGGGCAUUGACAUAGAUGGGAAAAGCAUGACCUAAAAUAAGGGCUGGAAGCCAAGACUGGGAGGAAGGGCAAAGGGAGCAGGCAGCCUGGCACCAGGUACCAGUGAGGUGUCUGCUCUUUGUCCCCAUCACCUGUCAGCUAAGGAAUUCUGCAUGUCAUCAGUGCAAUAAAAUGUGAUCGCCAGAGUGAAAACCUUGUAAUAGACCAGCUGUGGCUUCUCUCAACACCAGUAUGUCCAAGGAGGAUGCAUUUUUAUUGCUUUUGUGGUCUUAACAAAAAAGAUUCAUGAGCAUUGUAUAAAAGGCAUAUUAAAACAAUUCGGUAAAAGGAUGAAAGAAAAA
ensembl:lncRNA novel transcript